rnacentral:rRNA from 1 species
GGCCCCGAAAGAAUGCUAGUGUUGGAGGGUUUCCGCCCUUCAGUGCUGCAGCUAACGCAUUAAGCACUCCGCCUGGGGAGUACGACCGCAAGGUUGAAACUCAAAGGAAUUGACGGGGGCCCGCACAAGCGGUGGAGCAUGUGGUUUAAUUCGAAGCAACGCGAAGAACCUUACCAGGUCUUGACAUCCUUUGACCACUCUAGAGAUAGAGCUUCCCCUUCGGGGGCAAAGUGACAGGUGGUGCAUGGUUGUCGUCAGCUCGUGUCGUGAGAUGUUGGGUUAAGUCCCGCAACGAGCGCAACCCUUAUUGUUAGUUGCCAUCAUUUAGUUGGGCACUCUAGCAAGACUGCCGGUGACAAACCGGAGGAAGGUGGGGAUGACGUCAAAUCAUCAUGCCCCUUAUGACCUGGGCUACACACGUGCUACAAUGGGAAGUACAACGAGUCGCGAAGUCGCGAGGCUAAGCUAAUCUCUUAAAGCUUCUCUCAGUUCGGAUUGUAGGCUGCAACUCGCCUACAUGAAGCCGGAAUCGCUAGUAAUCGCGGAUCAGCACGCCGCGGUGAAUACGUUCCCGGGCCUUGUACACACCGCCCGUCACACCACGAGAGUUUGUAACACCCGAAGUCGGUGAGGUAACCUUUUUGGAGCCAGCCGCCUAAGGUGGGAUAGAUGAUUGGGGUGAAGUCGUAACAAGGUAACCGUAAG